CCUGGCGGCCGUAGCGCGGUGGUCCCACCUGACCCCAUGCCGAACUCAGAAGUGAAACGCCGUAGCGCCGAUGGUAGUGU
rnacentral:rRNA from 3 species